rnacentral:rRNA from 1 species
GACAUAGGUCGCAAACGUUAUCCGGAUUCAUUGGGCGUAAAGGGUGCGUAGGUGGCGCUGUAAGUCGGGUGUGAAAUUUCGGAGCUUAACUCCGAAACUGCAUUCGAUACUGCGGUGCUCGAGGACUGGAGAGGAGACUGGAAUUCAUGGUGUAGCAGUGAAAUGCGUAGAGAUCAUGAGGAAGACCAGUGGCGAAGGCGGGUCUCUGGACAGUUCCUGACACUGAGGCACGAAGGCCAGGGGAGCAAACGGG